GAGUGGGUGGCUCAGUGGUUAGGGCCUAAGGCUUGAGAGCGAAAGGUCCCAGGUUCAAAUCUCGCAAGAGGCA
rnacentral:tRNA from 1 species